rnacentral:rRNA from 1 species
ACUCCUACGGGAGGCAGCAGUGGGGAAUCUUGGACAAUGGGGGCAACCCUGAUCCAGCCAUGCCGCGUGAGUGAUGAAGGCCUUAGGGUCGUAAAGCUCUUUCGCCAGGGAUGAUAAUGACAGUACCUGGUAAAGAAACCCCGGCUAACUCCGUGCCAGCAGCCGCGGUAAUACGGAGGGGGUUAGCGUUGUUCGGAAUUACUGGGGCGUAAAGCGCGCGUAGGCGGACCAGAAAGUUGGGGGUGAAAUCCCCGGGGGCUCAACCCCGGAACUGCCUCCAAAACUCCUGGUCUUGAGUUCGAGAGAGGUGAGUGGAAUUCCGAGUGUAGAGGUGAAAUUCGUAGAUAUUCGGAGGAACACCAGUGGCGAAGGCGGCUCACUGGCUCGAUACUGACGCUGAGGUGCGAAAGUGUGGGGAGCAAACAGGAUUAGAUACCCUGGUAGGAUAGCG